GCAUUGUUGGUCCAACGGUAGGAUAAUUGCCUUCCACGAGAUCAGGAUCCUGAUCGCCGGAGCAAUUGGCUCGGGUUCGACUCCCGGACAAUGCA